rnacentral:lncRNA from 12 species
GAAACUCAGCAGCAGCUCUGGACAGUGGAAUCAGUCCAUGGGCCUCUUGGCUAGCAGUCAUCAUAAUGGAUUCCUGAUGGCCUGUCUCUACCCUUCUUGUUUCUUGAGGUGGAGGUAUUGACAUCUCACCUGGCAGCCUGCAAAGGAUUACGGCACAUAGCUCGACACAAAAAACCCCGAGGUCGGCGUAAGACACAGGAGCGGUCCCAAUCGGAGAUGCUGCAGGUUGGGCAGGAACCAAAGAUGGUGCAUGAAAAGAGAGUUCAAUGGGAGGAGGUAGAACAUUAAAACAAGGAG